rnacentral:rRNA from 1 species
GACGAACGCUGGCGGCGUGCUUAACACAUGCAAGUCGAGCGGUAAGGCCCUUUCGGGGGUACACGAGCGGCGAACGGGUGAGUAACACGUGGGUGACCUGCCCUUAGCUCUGGGAUAAGCCUGGGAAACUGGGUCUAAUACCGGAUAUGACUCCAUGACGCAUGUUGUGGGGUGGAAAGCCUUGUGCGGCUAGGGAUGGGCCCGCGGCCUAUCAGCUUGUUGGUGGGGUGAUGGCCUACCAAGGCGACGACGGGUAGCCGGCCUGAGAGGGCGACCGGCACACUGGGACUGAGACACGGCCCAGACUCCUACGGGAGGCA